GUGAAAGGAACCUGGGAAGCCUCUGCCACGUGCACAGCUGUGUAAGGAGAAGGAUCUCUCUAUGUUUUCAGGGCUGACCUGCAGCAGAGACACCUACAUAUAAGCAUAAACUUGAGAAAGCAAUGAGCACCCAGGGGAGACGGGGCUGCCGCUUGGGCUUGCUACUUACCAGUGCUGUGUGAACUUUAAGAUGUGCCUGUAGCUUAUAUUUAUCUGGAGUUGAGUAGUCACAGCCAUCGGUGGGACACUUCAGCAAGAUGUUACUGUGUUUCUGAAUUACGUGGCGUUUAAGGCAGUUUUUGGUGAUGGAAGAAUAAUGACACUGAGAGCAAUAAUACAGAUGUUCCCGGGUGUGGGUGCGGACAUGCAUAUCAAAAUGCACUUGGUACCAAAAAAGUUUGCCUAAAAAAAUAUUUUCACAUGAGAACAAGGAAGUUUCAUUUUGACUGAUUUUGAAUUUUUUAAAUUAUUAUUAUUUUUUAUCUACAAUAUCUAUCUCCCUCUUGCGCUUGUCCGGGUCACCCUUCAUACUUUUCACCACAUU
rnacentral:lncRNA from 1 species